rnacentral:rRNA from 1 species
GUAAAUGUGGAGCCGUAGCGAAAGCGAGUCUGAAUAGGGCGUUUAGUAUUUGGUCGUAGACCCGAAACCAGGUGAUCUACCCUUGGUCAGGUUGAAGUUCAGGUAACACUGAAUGGAGGACCGAACCGACUUACGUUGAAAAGUGAGCGGAUGAACUGAGGGUAGCGGAGAAAUUCCAAUCGAACCUGGAGAUAGCUGGUUCUCUCCGAAAUAGCUUUAGGGCUAGCCUCAAGUGAUGAUUAUUGGAGGUAGAGCACUGUUUGGACGAGGGGCCCCUCUCGGGUUACCGAAUUCAGACAAACUCCGAAUGCCAAUUAAUUUAACUUGGGAGUCAGAACAUGGGUGAUAAGGUCCGUGUUCGAAAGGGAAACAGCCCAGACCACCAGCUAAGGUCCCAAAAUAUAUGUUAAGUGGAAAAGGAUGUGGCGUUGCCCAGACAACUAGGAUGUUGGCUUAGAAGCAGCCAUCAUUUAAAGAGUGCGUAAUAGCUCAC